CGCUCCCUGAAAAUAAAAUUAAUAUAUAGGGGGUUCUGCCUGCCCAGUGACAAUAGUUAAACGGCCGCGGUAUCUUGACCGUGCAAAGGUAGCAUAAUCAUUUGCCUUUUAAAUGGAGGCUGGUAUGAAUGGCAAGACGGGAAUUUAGCUGUCUCUCUUUUAGUAUCUUGAAUUUAAUAUCUUUGUGAAGAAGCGAAGAUUAGUUCGUAGGACGAGAAGACCCUAUUGAGCUUAAGUUAAAAAUUAUUAGUACAAGGGUUUUAUUUUUAGGCUAAUUAAAAAUAAAAGUAAUUUUACCUUAAAAUAGAAGGGUGCUGUUUAAUUGGUACUUUGGUUGGGGCAAUCGCGGAGAAAAUUAAUCCUCCGAUAUAAAUUUGAAGCAAAAAAUUACUAUUUUAAAGUAAUAAUUAAAUUAUAAAAAAUGAUCCACUUGUUUAAAGUGAUCAAAGGAAUAAGUUACCAUAGGGAUAACAGCGUAAUUUUUUUGGAGAGUUCAUAUUGAUAAAAAAGUUUGCGACCUCGAUGUUGGAUCGGGACUUCCAGGAGAUGCAGCAGUUUCCAAGGGUUGGUCUGUUCGACCAUUAAAGUCCU
rnacentral:rRNA from 1 species